CCGGGGCCGAUUCAGCGCUCGGCCGCCCUCAGCGCCCAGGUACCGGGUCCCGGGCACCCCCCGCCGGGAAUGCACUGCCUGCGGCGGGCCGCGCCGAUCCUAUCCGCCCCGCCGCUGGCCGCAGGGCUCCCUCCCCGGCCGCGCUGGCUCCCCGCCUCCCCGAGCCCCAGCCUCACCCGGCUGUCAUCACCACAUUGUAGAUGACCAGGGCGGUUGACGGUGGAUUCACUUCCCAUCAGCCCUUGAGGCUGCAGGGACCAGCCCUUUGUGGAGAAGCCCAGGCGGCCUAGAAUCCAGUGUCGUCCGUGAGUGCUUGGCUGGUGUUCAAGUGCAUCUUCCAGCCUGAGACCGCGUGGACUCGCUCAUCGUGAGGGCGAGAGGAGGAUAAGCCCAUUGGGCUGUCGGCUGAGAGUGAGGUGCGGGACCAUCCACAAUAUUGUUUGAACAUCUGAAGACAUGGGGAACUUGCCAUCUGAUAUCUGAUAACAGACUUCCUGUAAAGCAGGACUGGUAGUUUCCUGAUAACAAAUUCUUCAAUAUGAAGGAUAUAGCUGUGUCCUUUACAACUGGUAGCAUGGAAAGAAAGAGAAGUCUGCAAAGAUUGAACAAACAGCAUGCACUGUGGUAUCCUUUAUUUAAAAAUUGUGAGCUGACUACAGUUGUAGUGUUCUCAUUUACCAUUCUGAUGGCAUAAUAAACCAAGAGAACAUUAACACAAUUCCAAGAAGGCAUUAACCUGUAACACACAUAUACGCCACACAUGCACACACACAACAUACACGCACACAAAGGUUAUAUUCUGAACACAAAAGUGAUAGAAAAAAGCUUUGAAUGCGCUAAAUCAAAUAAAAACCCUUUAUUAUAAUAAACUGUGGCAAUACUGUGGCUAUCAUGAAAAAUAUUGUAACUAUUUUAAAAGCAAAAGGAAAAAUACUGGCAGUUUGAAACUAGCAGCAAAAAGC
rnacentral:lncRNA from 10 species